ACUAAGUGCUAAGGCACUCAAGCACACACUACUUUGGCAACAUGGCACGGUUUAUAUAGCUACGAGCGUGCUUUUCUUAAUCUUUGGAGGUCCCUACGCUAAACUGUAGGCCUGAGAUCAAAAUCUCUUUGCGAGAUCGGAUCGUUUGAUAUGGUGAUUCUAACAACGCAACCAUGAUACACGAUUCGAAUGUGGGAGACGUAGCCCCCUACUGUCCCUACGGAGAAGACAGUGGAAGCAAGCCUUCUUUCCGGAAAUGAGAGACGAGGAGCAAGCAUCUUGCCUUCCCUGCAAUGCGACAGCCGUACCAUUCGGCCGUCCGUCCACGCUAGCUUGCUAUUUCGAAACGCAUUUGGAGGUCACUCGGAUGACGAAUCUUGGAACACUUCCAUCUUAGGACAACCAAAAGGAACUAUGGAGCCAUGGAGCAGUGUGGUCUUUCGUGCAAGUUAGCUGCGGGGGAAUGUCAGGACUGUUGAUCGUGUUGAUCCAAAGUCAUGCACCUAUGGACACCACUCGGGACAAUUCUUCCUACACCAUCGGGCUACA